UACGGAGGGUGCAAACGUUGCUCGGAAUCAUUGGGCGUAAAGCGCACGUAGGCGGCCUGAUAAGUCGGAUGUGAAAGCCCUCGGCUCAACCAAGGAAGUGCAUCCGAAACUGCUGAGCUUGAGUACUUAAGAGGAUCGCGGAAUUCCCGGUGUAGAGGUGAAAUUCGUAGAUAUCGGGAGGAACACCAGUGGCGAAGGCGGCGAUCUGGGAAGAUACUGACGCUGAGGUGCGAAAGCGUGGGGAGCAAACAGGG
rnacentral:rRNA from 1 species